rnacentral:snRNA from 2 species
AGAGAUUUGCUGCUGGCGUUGGCCUAGUGUAGUAUCUGAUCUUAAAAGUUUCAUAUCUGAUAUGCCCUUGAUGAGAGGAUUUUAUAUCAAACAGACUUUGGGGCAUGGGAGUUGGACCUGGAGCUUGCUCUCUCUGCUUCAUGCAUUGCCCCAGCAUUGCAGUGACUCUGGGAACGGUGCACUGAUA